AGAGUUUGAUUCUGGCUCAGGAUGAACGCUAGCGGCAGGCCUAAUACAUGCAAGUCGAGGGGCAGCAGGGGUAGCAAUACUCGCUGGCGACCGGCGCACGGGCGUAACACGUAUGCAACUUUCCUUCAACUGGAAGAUAGCCCGAAGAAAUUCGGAUUAAUAUUCCAUAGUUAUAUGAAAUGGCAUCAUUUUAUAUUUAAAGCUCAGGCGGUUGAAGAUGGGCAUGCGUUCGAUUAGCUAGUUGGUGAGGUAAUGGCUCACCAAGGCUACGAUCGAUAGGGGAUCUGAGAGGAUUAACCCCCACACUGGUACUGAGACACGGACCAGACUCCUACGGGAGGCAGCAGUAAGGAAUAUUGGACAAUGGAGGCAACUCUGAUCCAGCCAUGCCGCGUGAAGGAUGAAGGUCCUAUGGAUUGUAAACUUCUUUUGAACGGGAGAAAACCUUCGGUCGUGUACCGAAGCUGAUAGUACCGUUAGAAUAAGGGUCGGCUAACUUCGUGCCAGCAGCCGCGGUAAUACGAAGGACCCGAGCGUUAUCCGGAUUUACUGGGUUUAAAGGGUGCGUAGGCGGAAUGGUAAGUCAGUGGUGAAAUCUUGUGGCUUAACUGCAAAACUGCCAUUGAUACUGCCAAUCUUGAGUACAUUUGAUGUGGGCGGAAUGUGCCAUGUAGUGGUGAAAUACUUAGAUAUGGCACAGAACACCGAUCGCGAAGGCAGCUCACAAAACUGUUACUGACGCUGAGGCACGAAAGCGUGGGGAUCAAACAGGAUUAGAUACCCUGGUAGUCCACGCCUUAAACUAUGAUUACUCGAUGUGUGCGAUACACAGUACGCGUCUAAGCGAAAGCGUUAAGUAAUCCACCUGGGGAGUACGGUCGCAAGAUUGAAACUCAAAGAAAUUGACGGGGGCCCGCACAAGCGGAGGAGUAUGUGGUUUAAUUCGAUGAUACGCGAGGAACCUUACCUGGGCUUGAAAGUUAGUGAAUGCUGUGGUAACAUGGCAGGCCGCAAGGACACGAAACUAGGUGCUGCAUGGCUGUCGUCAGCUCGUGCCGUGAGGUGUUGGGUUAAGUCCCGCAACGAGCGCAACCCCUAUCUUUAGUUGCCAGCGAGUAAUGACGGGGACUCUAAAGAAACUGCCCGUGCAAACGGUGAGGAAGGUGGGGAUGACGUCAAGUCAGCACGGCCCUUACGUCCAGGGCUACACACGUGCUACAAUGGCGAGUACAAAGGGCAGCUACAUGGUGACAUGAUGCUAAUCUCUAAAACUCGUCUCAGUUCGGAUGAAGUCUGCAAUUCGACUUCAUGAAGCUGGAUUCGCUAGUAAUCGAAUAUCAGCAAUGAUUCGGUGAAUACGUUCCCGGGCCUUGUACACACCGCCCGUCAAACAAUGGAAGCUGAGGGUACUUAAAGUCGAUAACCGCAAGGAGUCGCCUAGGGUAAAAUCGGUAACUGGUGUUAAGUCGAAACAAGGUA
rnacentral:rRNA from 1 species